UUGGGGUCCCCAGCAGGUGACAGUCACUCCUCACCCCCAGGACACUUCUCCAGGGCCCUCUGCCCGUCGGGAGGGGGAGCAGGCAGGGAAGGGGCGCGGGCAGGGAAGGGGCAGGGAAGGGGCACGGGCAGGGAAGGGGCGCGGGCAGGGAAGGGGCGCGGGCAGGGAAGGGGCAGGGAAGGGGCGCGGGCAGGGAAGGGGCGCGGGCAGGGAAGGGGCGCGGGCAGGGAAGGGGCAGGGAAGGGGCGCGGGCAGGGCCAGGGGCAGGGAAGGGGCGCGGGCAGGGCCAGGGGCAGGGAAGGGGCGCGGGCAGGGCCAGGGGCAGGGAAGGGGCGCGGGCAGGGAAGGGGCGCAGGCAGGGAAGGGGCGCAUGUGAGAAGGGGGACUCAGCUUCUGAGGUACCCUCAUGGUGAACAGCCGGGGAACAAGCCGGCGCUGCAGGGCCAUGGCAUAGGCCUGAGGCUCGGGCUGACUCUCCUUAGGGCCCACAGCAGGAAAGGGGGGCCUCCUGUACCCACCCCUGGGCCGGGCAAUGAGCAGUGGAGGUGGGGGAGGCCUGGAGGGAGGCAGAGCGGGCUGGGGGGACCCCACGCCCUCCCAGGGGCCUCGUUUUCCUCCCUGAUGGCAUCCUUCAAGGGAGAGCCGGGGAGGCAGCUUUGGGACUCCCCGCUCGGGCCGGUUUGUGCAGCAGCGAUGAGAAGGCCCAGGUCGGCUGCCUGCGCCUGGGCUCCAGUCUGGAGAGGCCCCGAUGAGCUCCGAGGCCACACAGGCGCCUCCCCAGGGCUGGGCACCGAAGGGCCCUGCAGCCGCCCCAACUUCUGUCUUAGAAUUGCCACAAGGCCUGGGCUCCAGGGCAGAGGAGCCCUGAGGGCUGGGCAAGCCGGCUGCAGUGACUGGGCCAGGGUCUCCCAGCCAGGAACCCAGGGUCUCCCCACAGCGGUCUGGGCUGCCCCUGGCUGGGCUCCCAGUGUUCCUCCUGGGGUCCCCGGGGCCAGGCUUGCCAGGCCCCACCUCCCCGGCUGA
rnacentral:lncRNA from 1 species